UCCUGAUGCUCACAUGUGUUACUAAGCUAAUAUGUAUACAAGCAUAUAUACCUACUUAUAUAUACUUAUUUCUUUUUUAGCCAUUUUUAGAAGAUUUAAAAAAAUAUAUAAUUGAUAUAAAGAGUAAUGAUAACGAUAAAAAUAAAGAUGCUAUGUUACAGUCAUAUAAUAAUACAGAAAAAUUAAUACAAUCUGAAUUUGUUUACCAAUCCGAAUUUCAAAAUAAUAUUGCUGAUGUUACAGCUUUAGCAAUCAAAGAAAAUGAGACAUACCAAAAAAAAAAUACAAAAAUAUUUUUUUUUAUUAAAAUGUAAAGAUGAAAAAAUUAAGACGGCAUGUGAAAUAAACUCAAAAAAUGUUAUAUCGUUUAUUACGUUCAUAAGAAAUCAAAUGGAUGGAUACAAACUAUACUUACAAGACGUUUUAAAUAAAAUUAGAAAUGAUCUGAAUUUAAGGAGAAAGUGCUUAUUAAGCAACAACAGACAGAUUGUUGAUGAUUUCAUGAGGAUGCGAAAUAUGAAUGCAAGCUAUUUCCUUGACGAAAUACAGUACCAAAAAAGAUUAGAUGAAAAAAUAAAAGAUACAUAUGAGCAAAUUCAUUUGAACUUGAAGAAGAAAAAUGAAAUGCUUGAAGCUAACUUAGUAUAGGUAUAGGUAUAG
rnacentral:lncRNA from 1 species